rnacentral:rRNA from 1 species
AACGUAGGAGACAAACGUUAUCCGGAGUUACUGGGCGUAAAGGGCGUGUAGGCGGUUUGUUAAGUCUGGCGUGAAAGCUCUCGGCUAAACCGGGAGAGGUCGUUGGAUACUGGCAAACUAGAGGACGGUAGAGGCGUGUGGAAUUCCGGGUGUAGUGGUGAAAUGCGUAGAGAUCCGGAGGAACACCAGUGGCGAAGGCGACACGCUGGGCCGUACCUGACGCUAAAGCGCGACAGCCAGGGGAGCAAACGGG